GGUGUUUGCUCGGGCAGCACGUGUACUAAAUGGAACAAUAGAAUUAGCAUGGCCCCUGCACAAGGAUGACUCGCAAAUUUGUGAAGUGUUCCAUAUUUUU
rnacentral:snRNA from 1 species